AACCCACAGGGAUUGAUAUUCGAAUCAAUUGAGUACUAUAAUUAUUUUAUCUUUCCCUUUAUUUAGACGAUCAAAUUUUAAGUCAAUGUUUUUAUGCUAAAUUAAAAUUAAAUAAGAUGAACGAUGCAAGUAAACGAAGGCAAAUUAUGAAGUUUCUUAUCAAAUUAUGAAUGCCUAGGGAAUGAUUUCACCGUACAUUCGAC
rnacentral:lncRNA from 1 species